CCGAGGGGCCCUGGCGGCGGCGGGCCGGGCGUGAGGGGAGCCGCUCUGCCGCCAGGUGUGAGGAGCGAAAGAGCCUUCCUGCUUCCCGUGGCAAUACUGGGGCACCAGCUAGGUACUCAUAUGGAAAUGGAAGUUAGGUAAUUGCUCUGUUUGUUUUCUCUACCCCACCCAUGCUGCCGUUCUAAGACGGAAACCUGGGAACCAUGGGAGCGUGUUUUCGGGGAUAAGGACACCCUCGAUGGAAACCUAAACACAGUAGAGGGGGCUGGGCAGGUACGGUUCGCUGGCUGAGGAAGAGGGAACCACAUCCCUGAUCGACGUUUGACCUGUCACUAUCACCUACAUAAGACUGAACUGGAGUGGGCUGUGGGAAGCAGGAAUAAAGAGGCAAGAUUUUUGUGGUGUUACCAGGAGGAAAGGACAGUCUGCUGAUGAGGACUUCAGCCACAGACUGCACACCUCUUCACCCUUCAGCUACCAGUGUGCCACAGAGACUUCAGGGACAGACUCUGCACGCCUUCUCCCCCUUCGCCUACCUGGAAAAAGCUACAACAACGGGGGUGAGCUCCGUGUCGAGCCCCCUGCCCAGCUGAUCUUUUUAAUAAAGAGCUGAACAUUAAUAAAGGCAUAAGCCCUGUUCAUUUCACCAGACACACACUGUCCGUGCCUCCACAGCUCCUGAGUCCAACCCUUGUCCUUCUGCCAAUAUGCUGAUUGUUGGAGAAAAACCUUUCAAAACCUGUAUUUCUUCUGGGAAAUGCCUCACUAGGCCUUCCGUUAACUACAAGGAUAGACUGAGAGAUGAAUAAUAAACUUUAUUUUCCCACCUUUGUUACAGAAACAUUUUAAAACAUGGGCUACACUAUUCCUAAAAAUGGAAUCAGUGAGAACUUUCAGUUUGCACAUGCCAUCACUGCUAUUGGGAGAGGAACGCAGCUCUCAGCAGACAAAUCCAGCAGGCAGCAAAACAUCAGCACUGGGCUUCAGAAAUCCCCAGGACAGCCACUUUUUACCAGUUUGUGAGUGUUUGAAUGCACCAUCAGAAGGCAGCCACAGACCCAGCUGUGUGGGAUCUGUGUUACCCUGUAAAGGCAUUUUGGGAGCACAGCUCUGAGGAGACAGACUGCUAAACAAACAGGUCCAGAUCUUAGUGCCAUUCUGGUGAAGACCAGGAAAGCACCAGGAGAUGGGAUAAAAUCUGUGUUGUUGGUCU